GUGCUGGCUUUAGCAGCACAAAUACUGAAACUGGAACAGUACAGAGGAGAUUAGCAUGGCCCUGUGUGAGGAUGACAUGCAAAUCAUGAAGCAUUCCCUGUUUUU